GAUAUUUAGACGCUAAAAAACUGUCAUCUUACUUUACUUAAAAGUGUAAUUGGGUUUGUAUUAUUUAAAUUGUGGAUGAAUAUUUAACUUAAUAAUGGUACUUGUGCACUGUAACUGUACACUAUAUAAAGAGGUAUACUUAUUUACUUAUUUCUAUUAUUAUCUAAGUAAGUAUAUGAAUUUAUUUAUGAUGAUCAUUUAUGGUUACGGGAUUAUGUAGCAAAUUAUUUAUUAUUGUUAAAAUGAUUAUCUACUGUUAGUCAAUGUAGUUCGUGUGCCUUGUGGUUACAGUACCAAUAUUAUGUUCUCAUCUGGGAAAUCGCUAUUUUCUGAUAUUGAUUAGUACAGGAAGCGGGGAUCAGAUGUCUGGCUAGAACUUAUUUUUUCUUUUACGUUGGGCCUAGUAUUGUAAUAGUAUGUUUGGAAGUCAAGUGGUAUUGGCUCUCUAUGUUAUUGUUACAGAAAACUUAAAACUAACUAACUUAAAAUACGCGUCGUGGUGCCAAAGCUCGGUAAACGGCGCAAAUUCAUCAUUAUUGUAUAUUGCCAUGGCAGCCAAGGUACUAGUUGACCCUUUAACCAUUGUAAGAGCGCAAUGAAAACGCAAUGCGAUAGAAAAACUGAAAAAGGGUAAAUUAAAGAAGUAAUUAAAUGAAGAUUUAAGAUU